AUCCUGGCUCAGAUUGAACGCUGGCGGCAUGCCUUACACAUGCAAGUCGAACGGCAGCACGGACUUCGGUCUGGUGGCGAGUGGCGAACGGGUGAGUAAUGUAUCGGAACGUACCUUUCAGUGGGGAUAACGUAGCGAAAGUUACGCUAAUACCGCAUAUUCUGUGAGCAGGAAAGCAGGGGAUCGCAAGACCUUGCGCUGAUUGAGCGGCCGAUAUCAGAUUAGCUAGUUGGUGAGGUAAAGGCUCACCAAGGCGACGAUCUGUAGCGGGUCUGAGAGGAUGAUCCGCCACACUGGAACUGAGACACGGUCCAGACUCCUACGGGAGGCAGCAGUGGGGAAUUUUGGACAAUGGGGGCAACCCUGAUCCAGCCAUGCCGCGUGAGUGAAGAAGGCCUUCGGGUUGUAAAGCUCUUUCGGCCGGGAAGAAAUCGCAUGGGCUAAUACCCUGUGCGGAUGACGGUACCGGCAUAAGAAGCACCGGCUAACUACGUG
rnacentral:rRNA from 1 species